AUUGAACGCUGGCGGCAGGCCUAACACAUGCAAGUCGAACGAGUGGCGGACGGGUGAGUAAUGUCUGGGAAACUGCCUGAUGGAGGGGGAUAACUACUGGAAACGGUAGCUAAUACCGCAUACCAUCGGAUGUACCCAUAUGGGAUUAGCUAGUAGGUGGGGUAAAGGCUCACCUAGGCGACGAUCCCUAGCUGGUCUGAGAGGAUGACCAGCCACACUGGAACUGAGACACGGUCCAGACUCCUACGGGAGGCAGCAGUGGGGAAUAUUGCACAAUGGGCGCAAGCCUGAUGCAGCCAUGCCGCGUGUAUGAAGAAGGCCUUCGGGUUGUAAAGUACUUUCAGCGGGGAGGCGUUACCCGCAGAAGAAGCACCGGCUAACUCCGUGCCAGCAGCCGCGGUAAUUC
rnacentral:rRNA from 1 species